rnacentral:rRNA from 1 species
UACGUAGGGGGCGAGCGUUGUCCGGAUUUAUUGGGCGUAAAGAGCUCGUAGGCGGCUUGGCAAGUCGGGUGUGAAACCUCCAGGCUCAACCUGGAGACGCCACUCGAUACUGCCAUGGCUAGAGUCCGGUAGGGGACCACGGAAUUCCUGGUGUAGCGGUGAAAUGCGCAGAGUAUCAGGAGGAACACCGGUGGCGAAGGCGGUUCUCUGGGCAUGUCCUGACGCUGAGGAGCGAAAGUGUGGGGAGCGAACAGG